rnacentral:rRNA from 1 species
GAUGAACUCUGGCUGCGUGGCUAGUACAUGCAAGUCGAGCGAACAGACGAGGAGCUUGCUCCUCUUACUUUAGCGGCGGACGGGUGAGUAACACGUGGAUAACCUACCUAUAAGACUGGGAUAACUUCGGGAAACCGGAGCUAAUACCGGAGAAUAUAUUGAACCGCAUGGUUCAAUAGUGAAAGACGGUUUUGCUGUCACUUAUAGAUGGAUCCUCGCCGCAUUAGCUAGUUGGUAAGGUAACGGCUUACCAAGGCAACGAUGCGUAGCCGACCUGAGAGGGUGAUCGGCCACACUGGAACUGAGACACGGUCCAGACUCAUACGGGAGGAAGCAGUAGGGAAUCUUCCGCAAUGGGCGAAAGCCUGACGGAGCAACGCCGCGUGAGAGAUGAAGGUCUUCGGAUCGUAAAACUCUGUUAUUAGGGAAGAACAAAUGUGUAAGUAAGUAUGCACGUCUUGACGGUACCUACUCAGAAAGCCACGGCUAACUCCGUG